rnacentral:snRNA from 1 species
AUCGCUUCUCGGCCUUUUGGCUAAGAUCAAGUGUAGUAAAAUAUUCUAACUAAGAGACUGAAUAGAUGAUUGAAAUGUUUUUGAUCUCUU